rnacentral:rRNA from 1 species
ACGGGUGAGUAACGCGUGGGCAACCUGCCCUAUCGCCCGGGAUAACCCUCGGAAACGAGGGCUAAUACCGGAUGCGGUCACCGGCUCGCAUGAGCGGGUGACGAAAGGGCCAUGGGUCCGCGAUAGGAUGGGCCCGCGUCCCAUUAGCUAGUUGGUGGGGUAACGGCCCACCAAGGCGACGAUGGGUAGCCGGCCUGAGAGGGUGGACGGCCACACUGGCACUGAGACACGGGCCAGACUCCUACGGGAGGCAGCAGUAGGGAAUCUUGCGCAAUGGGCGAAAGCCUGACGCAGCGACGCCGCGUGGGGGAUGAAGGUCUUCGGAUCGUAAACCCCUGUCUUUGGGGACGAAGCAUGACGGUACCCAAGGAGGAAGCCCCGGCUAACUACGUGCCAGCAGCCGCGGUAAAACGUAGGGGGCGAGCGUUGUCCGGAAUUACUGGGCGUAAAGGGUGCGUAGGCGGCCGCUUAAGUCCUGUGUGAAAGGCCCCGGCUUAACCGGGGAGGGUCAUGGGAAACUGGGCGGCUUGAGUGCCGGAGAGGGUGGCGGAAUUCCCGGUGUAGC